UGACAUCAGUACAAUUUUUACCUGACGGUGGAAUUCCCAUCACCAUUUCCAGAAUACCAACAUUCUUGGGAAGGUAUAUCUGAAGACAGACAAUAGUCAAGCAGUCAAAGACCCAUGAGAAUAGAUAAUGCAUGACUUGAUCAGUGGAAGUGUUGAUGUUAAUAUUGAUUCAAUAUUCAAUAUUAAUUAAAUCUCUUCCUGCCCUAAGAUUUCCUUCUUUAAUUCAUUGCUUUUUGUUGUUGUUGUUGUUACGUACACCUUUGUAUGGUUAUUCUUUCUUAUGGCCCAUGGAGUGGUGCUUAACUCAUCCCAACCAUAGACAAACCUUCUGGAAAUCGUGCUAAUGCACAGCUGAAUAAGAAGAGAUCAGAGAUACCAAGGCCAUAGAUGGGGCUUUAGAGAAGUACUUUUCAGGGAUCACCAGUGCUCUGGUGCCAAGGAAAAGAAGACAGCAAAAAAAGAAGAAAGAGCAAGCACCAGCUUUACGAAAUAAAUGAAGACAAUGACUGCUGAAUUUUUUUCUCGCAUGUGGACAAUGGAAUGUGAAGUCAAGAAAAUCUUUCCGAGGGGCACCUGGGUGGCUUAGUUGGUUAAGCAUCCGACUCUUGAUCAUGGUCAUGAUCUCAGUCAUGAGCUGCCAAGACUUUGGGCUUUACACCGAGUGUGAAGCCUGCUUAACAUUCUGUCUUGCUGUCCUUCUGCCCCUGCCCCUCUCUAAAAAGAAAAUCUUCCAGAAAACGUAUCACAAAGAGGAUGGGGUGGGAUGGAAAAGGCAAGAAGGUUCUAGCAUGUAUGGCUUACAUCCAUUUGGUCAUAUGGUCCAGCUCAAAAUUCUCUACUAAGAGAGUUUCUUUUCUUUUGUUCUAGUGACUUUUACACAGACACAGAGCAAAGGGAAGUAACUGUCUUUUGAUUGGCAGGAAGAGUGACCUGUUUCUCAAAUAUCCCAAGCAGCUUCUUUUCCAGCUUCUAGUUCUAGGUGGGAACUGCUAAAUGCCAACAUUCAGCCCUGAGGUUUCUCCAAAACCUACUAUACAUUAAUAUGUAUAUUAAUACCUACUGUACGUUCUAAUUUUCCAUAGUAGUCUUCCAAAUACUCAAAGUUGGGGUGCCUGGGUGGCUCAGUCAGUUAAGCAUGCAACUCUUG